rnacentral:rRNA from 1 species
GAACCUGCGGAGGGAUCAUUACAGAGUUCAUAACCUUCGGGGUAGAUCUCCCAUCCGCGUCAUCACCCCUUUGUUGCUUUGGCGGGCCCGCCUCGGCCACCGGCUCCGCCUGGUGAGCACCCCCCAGAGGACCCCAAACUGUGAAAUUUAGAGUAGUGUGAGUAGUAUAUAAUAGUUAAAACUCUCAACAACGGAUCUCUUGGUUAAGGCAUCGAUGAAGAACGCAGCGAAAUGCGAUAAGUAAUGUGAAUUGCAGAAUUCAGUGAAUCAUGGAAUCUUUGAACGCACAUUGCGCCCCCAGGUACUCCGGGGGGCAUGCCUGUUCGAGCGUCAUUACAACCCUCAACCUCUGCCUGGUAUUGGGAGUCCCCGGGGACGGGGUGCCCUAAAAUCACAGGCGGAGCCGUCGGGCUAUAAGGGUAGUAAAAUCUCGCUAAGGAUGGCCGCGGAUGCUGGCCAGAACCCCCCAUUUCACAGCUGACCU